UACAGAGGAUGCAAGCGUUAUCCGGAAUGAUUGGGCGUAAAGCGUCUGUAGGUGGCUUUUUAAGUCCGCCGUCAAAUCCCAGGGCUCAACUCUGGACAGGCGGUGGAAACUACCAAGCUGGAGUACGGUAGGGGCAGAGGGAAUUUCCGGUGGAGCGGUGAAAUGCGUAGAGAUCCGGAGGAACACCAAAGGCGCAGGCAGUGUCCUGGGAAGUACCUGACGCUCAGGGACGAAAGCUAGGGGAGCGAACGGG
rnacentral:rRNA from 1 species